AGGGGGGGGCUAUACAUGCAAGUCGAGCGAAUCGAUGGGAGCUUGCUCCCUGAGAUUAGCGGCGGACGGGUGAGUAACACGUGGGCAACCUGCCUAUAAGACUGGGAUAACUUCGGGAAACCGGAGCUAAUACCGGAUACGUUCUUUUCUCGCAUGAGAGAAGAUGGAAAGACGGUUUCGGCUGUCACUUAUAGAUGGGCCCGCGGCGCAUUAGCUAGUUGGUGAGGUAAUGGCUCACCAAGGCGACGAUGCGUAGCCGACCUGAGAGGGUGAUCGGCCACACUGGGACUGAGACACGGCCCAAACUCCUACGGGAGGCAGCAGUAGGGAAUCUUCCGCAAUGGACGAAAGUCUGACGGAGCAACGCCGCGUGAACGAAGAAGGCCUUCGGGUCGUAAAGUUCUGUUGUUAGGGAAGAACAAGUACCAGAGUAACUGCUGGUACCUUGACGGUACCUAACCAGAAAGCCACGGCUAACUACGUGCCAGCAGCCGCGGUAAUACGUAGGUGGCAAGCGUUGUCCGGAAUUAUUGGGCGUAAAGCGCGCGCAGGGGGUUCUUUAAGUCUGAUGUGAAAGCCCACGGCUCAACCGUGGAGGGUCAUUGGAAACUGGGGAACUUGAGUGCAAAAAAGGAAAGUGGAAUUCCAAGUGUAGCGGUGAAAUGCGUAAAGAUUUGGAGGAACACCAGUGGCGAAGGCGACUUUCUGGUCUGUAACUGACACUGAGGCGCGAAAGCGUGGGGAGCAAACAGGAUUAGAUACCCUGGUAGUCCCGCCGU
rnacentral:rRNA from 1 species